GUGACUGCGUACCUUUUGUAUAAUGGGUCAGCGACUUAAUUUCAGUAGCAAGGUUAACCGUAUAGGGGAGCCGUAGGGAAACCGAGUCUUAACUGGGCGUACAGUUGCUGGGAUUAGACCCGAAACCAGGUGAUCUAGCCAUGGGCAGGUUGAAGGUGAGGUAACACUUACUGGAGGACCGAACCGACUAAUGUUGAAAAAUUAGCGGAUGACUUGUGGCUAGGGGUGAAAGGCCAAUCAAACCUGGAGAUAGCUGGUUCUCCCCGAAAGCUAUUUAGGUAGCGCCUCGGACGAAUACUACUGGGGGUAGAGCACUGUUAAGGCUAGGGGGUCAUCCCGACUUACCAACCCUUUGCAAACUCCGAAUACCAGUAAGUACUAUCCGGGAGACACACGGCGGGUGCUAACGUCCGUCGUGGAGAGGGAAACAACCCAGACCGCCAGCUAAGGUCCCAAAGUAUCACUAAGUGGGAAACGAUGUGGGAAGGCUCAGACAGCCAGGAUGUUGGCUUAGAAGCAGCCAUCAUUUAAAGAAAGCGUAAUAGCUCACUGGUCGAGUCGGCCUGCGCGGAAGAUUUAACGGGGCUAAGUGAUACACCGAAGCUGCGGCAAUGCGAUUUAUCGUAUUGGGUAGGGGAGCGUUCUGUAAGCGGUUGAAGGUGUGCUGUAAGGCAUGCUGGACGUAUCAGAAGUGCGAAUGCUGACAUGAGUAACGACAAAGGGGGUGAAAAACCCCCUCGCCGGAAGACCAAGGGUUCCUGUCCAACGUUAAUCGGGGCAGGGUAAGUCGACCCCUAAGGCGAGGCCGAAAGGCGUAGUCGAUGGGAAACGGGUUAAUAUUCCCGUACUGCUUAUUAUUGCGAUGGGGGGACGGAGAAGGCUAGGUGGGCCAGGCGACGGUUGUCCUGGUUCAAGGGUGUAGGCUGCAGAAUUAGGCAAAUCCGGUUCUGCACUAAGGCUGAGACCCGAUGUCGAGUCACCACGGUGAUGAAGUCAUUGAUGCCAUGCUUCCGGGAAAAGCCUCUAAGCUUCAGAUAAUAAGCAAUCGUACCCCAAACCGACACAGGUGGUCAGGUAGAGAAUACCAAGGCGCUUGAGAGAACUCGGGUGAAGGAACUAGGCAAAAUGGUACCGUAACUUCGGGAGAAGGUACGCUCCUGGCGGUGAAGUCCCUUGCGGAUGGAGCUGCCGGGAGUCGCAGAUACCAGGUGGCUGCAACUGUUUAUUAAAAACACAGCACUGUGCAAAAUCGAAAGAUGACGUAUACGGUGUGACGCCUGCCCGGUGCCGGAAGGUUAAUUGAUGGGGUUAUCUUCGGAGAAGCUCUUGAUCGAAGCCCCGGUAAACGGCGGCCGUAACUAUAACGGUCCUAAGGUAGCGAAAUUCCUUGUCGGGUAAGUUCCGACCUGCACGAAUGGCGUAAUGAUGGCCACGCUGUCUCCACCCGAGACUCAGUGAAAUUGAAAUCGCAGUGAAGAUGCUGCGUACCCGCGGCUAGACGGAAAGACCCCGUGAACCUUUACUACAGCUUGGCACUGAACAUUGACCCUACAUGUGUAGGAUAGGUGGGAGGCUUCGAAGCAGGUACGCCAGUAUCUGUGGAGCCGUCCUUGAAAUACCACCCUUGUCGUGUUGAUGUUCUAACGUCGCCCCGU
rnacentral:rRNA from 1 species